AUUGAACGCUAGCGGGAUGCCUUACACAUGCAAGUCGAACGGCAGCACGGACUUCGGUCUGGUGGCGAGUGGCGAACGGGUGAGUAGCGUAUCGGAACGUGCCCAGUAGCGGGGGAUAACUACGCGAAAGCGUAGCUAAUACCGCAUACGCCCUAAGGGGGAAAGCGGGGGAUCGCAAGACCUCGCACUAUUGGAGCGGCCGAUAUCGGAUUAGCUAGUUGGUGGGGUAAAGGCCUACCAAGGCGACGAUCCGUAGCUGGUUUGAGAGGACGGCCAGCCACACUGGGACUGAGACACGGCCCAGACUCCUACGGGAGGCAGCAGUGGGGAAUUUUGGACAAUGGGGGCAACCCUGAUCCAGCCAUUUCGCGUGUGCGAUGAAGGCCUUCGGGUUGUAAAGCACUUUUGGCAGGGAAGAAAGGGCUUAGGUUAAUAGCCUAGGUUGAUGACGGUACCUGCAGAAUAAGCACCGGCUAACUACGUGCCGGCCGCCGCCGUAA
rnacentral:rRNA from 1 species